rnacentral:rRNA from 1 species
CCUACGGGAGGCAGCAGUGAGGAAUAUUGGUCACUGGACGAGAGUCUGAACCAGCCAAGUAGCGUGAAGGAUGACUGCCCUAUGGGUUGUAAACUUCUUUUAUAUGGGAAUAAAAUGUUCCACGUGUGGGAUUUUGUAUGUACCAUAUUAAUAAGGAUCGGCUAACUCCGUUCCAGCAGCCGCGGUAAUACGGAGGAUCCGAGCGUUAGCCGGAUUUAUUGGGUUUAAUGAGAGCGUAGGUGGAUUGUUAAGUCAGUUGGUAAAGUGUGCGGAUCAAACGUAAAAUUGCAGUUGAAACUGGCAGUCUCGAGUACAGGAGAGGUGGGCGGAAUAAGUGGUGUAGCGGUGAAAUGCUUAGAUAUCACGAAGAACUCCGAUUGCGAAGGCAGCUCACUGGACUGCAACUGACACUGAGGCUCGAAAGUGUGGGUAUCAAACAGGAUUAGAUACCCGAGUAGUC